rnacentral:rRNA from 1 species
UACGAAGGGGGCUAGCGUUGCUCGGAAUCACUGGGCGUAAAGCGCACGUAGGCGGACUCUUAAGUCGGUGGUGAAAUCCUGGAGCUCAACUCCAGAACUGCCUUCGAUACUGAGAGUCUCGAGUCCGGGAGAGGUGAGUGGAACUGCGAGUGUAGAGGUGAAAUUCGUAGAUAUUCGCAAGAACACCAGUGGCGAAGGCGGCUCACUGGCCCGGUACUGACGCUGAUGCGCGAAAGCGUGGGUAGCAAACAGG